UACGAAGGGGGCUAGCGUUGUUCGGAAUCACUGGGCGUAAAGGGUGCGCAGGCGGAUCAUUAAGUCAGGGGUGAAAUCCCGGGGCUCAACCUCGGAACUGCCUUUGAUACUGGUGAUCUUGAGUCCGGAAGAGGUGAGUGGAAUUGCGAGUGUAGAGGUGAAAUUCGUAGAUAUUCGCAAGAACACCGGUGGCGAAGGCGGCUCACUGGUCCGGAACUGACGCUGAGGCACGACAGCGUGGGGAGCAAACAGG
rnacentral:rRNA from 1 species